CCCUUAGAUGUCCGGGGCCGCACGCGCGCUACACUGAAGGAAUCAGCGUGGCUUUCUCCCUGACCCGAAAGGGUUGGGAAACCCGUUGAAUCUCCUUCGUGAUAGGGAUUGGGGCUUGAAAUUGUUCCCCAUGAACGAGGAAUUCCCAGUAAGCGCGAGUCAUAAGCGCGCGUUGAUUACGUCCCUGCCCUUUGUACACACCGCCCGUCGCUACUACCGAUUGAACGGUUUAGUGAGGGCCUCGGAUUGGUCUCGGCCCGCUCUUUACCGGGCGGCGCCGUUGGUCGAGAAGACGCUCGAACUUGAUCGUUUAGAGGAAGUAAAAGUCGUAACA
rnacentral:rRNA from 1 species